AUGGCGGCACCGAGGCAAGUCCCCAGCCACAUAAUGCCCCGCAAGCCCAGCUGCUCUACGAACUCGUCGUUUACCCGGACGCCGGUGUCCACCGUGUCUCUCGAGUCCCGGGAGCUGCCUGUCUCGCCGUGGCAGGUCGCCGAGCCGUCGAGCAAGAGUCUGUGGGAGCAGAUAUGCGAGGAGUAUGAAGCUGAGCAGCCUCCCUUUCCAGAAGGAUAUAAAGUCAAACAGGAGCCUGUGAUUACGGUUGCGCCAGUAGAGGAAAUGCUUUUUCAUGGCUUCAGUACAGAGCACUAUUUUCCAGUUUCCCAUUUCACCAUGAUCUCACAUACACCCUGUCCUCAAGAUAAAUCGGAAACAGUCAACCCAAAAACAUGUUCUCCCAAAGAAUAUUUGGAAACUUUCAUCUUUCCUGUUCUGCUUCCCGGAAUGGCUAGUCUGCUUCACCAAGCGAAGAAAGAAAAAUGUUUUGAGAGGAAAAGAACCAAAUUCAUUGCCUGUGAUUUUCUGACCGAGUGGUUAUACAACCAAAAUCCAAAGAGGGCAGGGGAGCCAUUCACAGAAUUUUUCUCCAUUCCGUUUGUGGAGGAGUGGCUAAAGCAACACCCACGGCCGCCAAUCACACUCUCCCUCCUGCUGACAGAAGAGGAAGCAGCCCUCUACAUUCAAUCCUUCUGGAGAGCCUAUGUGGAAAUAUGGAGAAUAGGCAAAUCCAGAGAGACUGUGGAUCUAAAGACACAGAGAGGCUGUGGAGACUACAGCAGGUUCGCUGUGAUCCUGAGAUUCAAGAACUGCGUCAGUGGCAGAAGAAACUUCGCGAGGCCAAGCACAUUCACCAGCGAGUCAAAAUUUUCUGGGCCAAGCAAGAACAAAAAGGACGGAAGCGGUGUGAAGUUAUCUUCAAGUCUCUAUCCAUCAGGACAGAUACAGAAAUUAUUUUAAAACGUGUAUGAUGUCCCCAACUUGUCCCUAGAGAGCCAGCCUGCAGGUCUGAAGUUAUGCCUGAUGCUGGCUGCACUAGUUGACCUGCGUACCUCCCUGGGGGGAUCCAGGGCAGGCCCGCUCCAUCUGACUGUGCGCACCUCUUCCCAACUCUGUUACAUUGUCAGGCUGCUGGCUUCCAAUAGGCUAUGGAAAUGGCAAAUGCUACAACUCGGGACUCUCCCCCAGUCCCUGUGAAAUGCAAAAUGGAGGAUGAUGCGGUACCUGCAGCCAAGAUGAAAAUUCCAUCAUCUUAACCAUAGCUAAGACUAUGCAACAAUCAGCCGGGGGAAAGAUAAAGGUACAUUAUAAAACACACGUUAAUGCAUUUAAUAAAUAUAUAUUAUCUAUCAAAA